AUUGAACGCUGGCGGCAUGCUUUACACAUGCAAGUCGAACGGUAACAGGUUAAGCUGACGAGUGGCGAACGGGUGAGUAAUGCAUCGGUACGUGCCCGGUCGUGGGGGAUAACGCAGCGAAAGCUGCGCUAAUACCGCAUACGAUCUGAGGAUGAAAGCGGGGGACCGUAAGGCCUCGCGCGAUCGGAGCGGCCGAUGUCAGAUUAGGUAGUUGGUGGGGUAAAGGCUCACCAAGCCGACGAUCUGUAGCUGGUCUGAGUGGACGACCAGCCACACUUGGACUGAGACACGGCCCAGACUCCUACGGGAGGCAGCAGUGGGGAAUUUUGGACAAUGGGCGCAAGCCUGAUCCAGCAAUGCCGCGUGCAGGAAGGAGGCCUUCGGGUUGUAAACUGCCUUUGUACGGAGCGAAAAGGCUCUCUCUAAUACGGAGGGCUCAUGACGGUACCGUAAGAAUAAGCACCGGCUAACUACGUGCCAGCCGCCGCUGUAACAC
rnacentral:rRNA from 1 species